rnacentral:rRNA from 1 species
UGCUCCUAGUACGAGAGGACCGGAGUGGACGCAUCACUGGUGUUCGGGUUGUCAUGCCAAUGGCACUGCCCGGUAGCUAAAUGCGGAAGAGAUAAGUGCUGAAAGCAUCUAAGCACGAAACUUGCCCCGAGAUGAGUUCUCCCUGAGACUUAGAGUCUCCUGAAGGAACGUUGAAGACGACGACGUUGAUAGGCCGGGUGUGUAAGCGCAGCGAUGCGUUGAGCUAACCGGUACUAAUGAACCGUGAGGCUUAACCUUACAACGCCGAAGCUGUU